rnacentral:rRNA from 1 species
AGGCCUUCGGGUUGUAAAGUACUUUCUCUGGGGAGGAAGGGAGUAAAGUUAAUACCUUUGCUCAUUGACCUUACCCGCAAAAUAAGCACCGGCUAACUCCGUGCCAGCAGCCGCGGUAAUACGGAGGGUGCAAGCGUUAAUCGGAAUUAC